rnacentral:rRNA from 1 species
AAUGAACGCUAGCGGCGUACCUAAUACAUGCAAGUCGAGCGAAUGGAUUGAGAGCUUGCUCUUAUGAAGUUAGCGGCGGACGGGUGAGUAACACGUGGGUAACCUGCCCAUAAGACUGGGAUAACUCCGGGAAACCGGGGCUAAUACCGGAUAACAUUUUGAACCGCAUGGUUCGAAAUUGAAAGGCGGCUUCGGCUGUCACUUAUGGAUGGACCCGCGUCGCAUUAGCUAGUUGGUGAGGUAACGGCUCACCAAGGCAACGAUGCGUAGCCGACCUGAGAGGGUGAUCGGCCACACUGGGACUGAUGCACGGCCCAGACGCCUACGGGAGGCAGCAGUAGGGAAUCUUCCGCAAUGGACGAAAGUCUGACGGAGCAACGCCGCGUGAGUGAUGAAGGCUUUCGGGUCGUAAAACUCUGUUGUUAGGGAAGAACAAGUGCUAGUUGAAUAAGCUGGCACCUUGACGGUACCUAACCAGAAAGCCACGGCUAACUACGUGCCAGCCGCCGCCGUAA